UACGGAGGGGGGCUAGCGUUGUUCGGAAUUACUGGGCGUAAAGCGCACGUAGGCGGCUUUGUAAGUUAGAGGUGAAAGCCCGGGGCUCAACUCCGGAAUUGCCUUUAAAACUACAUCGCUAGAAUUGUGGAGAGGUAAGUGGAAUUCCGAGGUGUAGAGGUGAAAUUCGUAGAUAGUUCGGAAGAACACCAGUGGCGAAGGC
rnacentral:rRNA from 1 species